rnacentral:rRNA from 1 species
UACGGAGGGGGCUAGCGUUGUUCGGAAUUACUGGGCGUAAAGCGCACGUAGGCGGAUAUUUAAGUCAGGGGUGAAAUCCUGGAGCUCAACUCCAGAACUGCCUUUGAUACUGGCGAUCUUGAGUCCGGGAGAGGUGAGUGGAACUGCGAGUGUAGAGGUGAAAUUCGUAGAUAUUCGCAAGAACACCAGUGGCGAAGGCGGCUCACUGGCCCGGUACUGACGCUGAGGUGCGAAAGCGUGGGGAGCAAACAGG